rnacentral:misc_RNA from 1 species
GGAAGGAUCAUUAUUGAAUGUUUGAAGUAGUUGAGCUGGUCUUAACGGACAAGUGCUUACUGCUUCUAUUCAUCCUCAUCCACCUGUGCACUUUUUGUAGAGCUUUGAAGAACGUCUCAGUUAACUCUGGGACAAGUAUUCGGGUUCUAUGUAUCUUAUACACUCUAUGAAUGUCUUGAAUGUCUUUUAUUGGGACUUAAUUGACCCUUUAAACUUUAUACAACUUUCAGCAACGGAUCUCUUGGCUCUCGCAUCGAUGAAGAACGCAGCGAAAUGCGAUAAGUAAUGUGAAUUGCAGAAUUCAGUGAAUCAUCGAAUCUUUGAACGCACCUUGCGCCUUUUGGUAUUCCGAAAGGCAUGCCUGUUUGAGUGUCAUUAAAUUCUCAACUUCAAAAGCUUUGUCUUUUUGAAGCUUGGAUGUGAAGGUUGCUGGCGUCUCAGAUGUUCAGCUCCUUUGAAAUGCAUUAGUGGACCCGUUUGUGUUCAUCCUUAGUGUGAUAAUUAUCUACGCUAUUGCCUUGAAUGCAUGCUCAUUAGAAUUUUCAAGCUGUUUCGCAGCCUUGGUUUGGAGAGUUGCAUUAAUUUGCUCUUUCUGUCUAUUGAGUUGGUUUGUCUGCUUCAAACCGUCUACAGAUGUAGACAAAUUUGAACCAUUUGACCUCAAAUCAGGUAGGACUACCCGCUGAACUUAAGCAUAUCAAUAAGCGGAGGAAAAGAAACUAACAAGGAUUCCCCUAGUAACUGCGAGUGAAGAGGGAAAAGCUCAAAUUUAAAAUCUGGCAGUCUUUGAUUGUCCGAGUUGUAAUUUAGAGAAGUGUUACCCGCGUUGGACCGUGUAUAAGUCUCCUGGAAUGGAGCGUCAUAGAGGGUGAGAAUCCCGUCUUUGACACGGACUACCAAGGCUUUGUGGUACGCUCUCAAAGAGUCGUGUUGUUUGGGAAUGCAGCACUAAAUGGGUGGUAAAUUCCAUCUAAAGCUAAAUAUUGGCGAGAGACCGAUAGCGAACAAGUACCGUGAGGGAAAGAUGAAAAGAACUUUGGAAAGAGAGUUAAACAGUACGUGAAAUUGCUGAAAGGGAAACGCUUGAAGUCAGUCGCGUUGGCUAGGGAUCAACCUUGCUUUUGUGGGGUGUACUUCCUAAUCAACGGGUCAACAUCAGUUUUGACCAUUGGAAAAAGGCUAGUUGAAUGUGGCAUCUCCGGAUGUGUUAUAGCUUCUAGUCAUAUACAGUGGUUGGGACUGAGGAACUCAGCACGCCGCAAGGCCGGGUUUUAACCACGUACGUGCUUAGGAUGUUGGCAUAAUGGCUUUAAGCGACCCGUCUUGAAACACGGACCAAGGAGUCUAACAUGCCUGCGAGUGUUUGGGUGGUAAACCCGAGCGCGUAAUGAAAGUGAAAGUUGAGAUCCCUGUCGUGGGGAGCAUCGACGCCCAUACCAGAGCUUUUGUGACGGAUAUGCGGUUGAGCAUGUAUGUUGGGACCCGAAAGAUGGUGAACUAUGCCUGAAUAGGGUGAAGCCAGAGGAAACUCUGGUGGAGGCUCGUAGCGAUUCUGACGUGCAAAUCGAUCGUCGAAUUUGGGUAUAGGGGCGAAAGACUAAUCGAACCAUCUAGUAGCUGGUUCCUGC